rnacentral:rRNA from 1 species
GUGGGGAAUCUUCCGCAAUGGACGAAAGUCUGACGGAGCAACGCCGCGUGAGUGAAGAAGGUUUUCGGAUCGUAAAGCUCUUUCGUUAGGGACGAACGUGCUCUUUGUGAAUAAUGAGGAGUAAUGACGGUACCUAAAUAAGAAGCCACGGCUAACUACGUGCCAGCAGCCGCGGUAAUACGUAGGUGGCAAGCGUUGUCCGGAAUUAUUGGGCGUAAAGCGCGCGCAGGCGGGAUAUCAAGUCUGUCUUAAAAGUGCGAGGCUCAACCUCGUGAGGGGACAGAAACUGAUAUUCUUGAGUGUCGGAGAGGAAAGUGGAAUUCCAAGUGUAGCGGUGAAAUGCGUAGAGAUUUGGAAGAACACCAGUGGCGAAGGCGACUUUCUGGACGAUGUCUGACGCUGAGGCGCGAAAGCUAGGGGAGCGAACGAGAAUAGAAACCCUAGUAUCC